rnacentral:snRNA from 1 species
AUACUUACCUGGCAGGGGAGAUACCAUGAUCACGAAGGUGGUUUUCCCAGGGGCGAGGCUUAUCCACUCUGGAUGUGCUGACCCCUGCGAUUUCCCAAAUGUGGGAAACCUGACUGCAUAAUUUGUGGUAGUGGGGGACUACGUUCACGCUCUCCCCUA